CCAGGCCCGAGACUGAGCUUGGGGGAUCGAGAAACACGGUUCGGCAGGAGCUUAGUGAUCGCGGGGAGAGCAGAAGAAGCCGAGGUCCGACAGGUGGUCAGAUGAAGAUCGGGAAGGGCUUUCGGGGUUUUAAAAUACUGUUCCUUGUCAGGCCCCUUGGGCUUCCACCAGAUUGCUGAAGGAGUCCUUGGCUCAAAAAUUGGUUAAGAACCCUUCUUUCCCUGCCUCUCCUGGGUACAGAACUCGUGCCCCUUGGCUGUGAAGCAGUCUCCUUGAAAGCAGACACCUGACUUCUCUUUCACAAAGCCGAGUGCCUGUCACAGAGUUUCCUUCUCUGCUUGGACUCAUCAUCUGGGGCCUGACUCCUGGCCACCACCGCUCCUGCUCCCUGCUUCCUGAUGAGGCCGUUUCUCUCGAAAUCACCUGUCUGACCAAGCCGACCCAACCUGACAGAGAGGGCUGCUGGAAUAAAAUCGUCCUGGGAAGGGAAAUGAGAAGCUGACGAUGAAAAUGCUUCUGUUCACCAAU